rnacentral:lncRNA from 1 species
GUUAUUGUGGAAUGAUAGAAGACAUCAUGAUUAUAUAAGAAUCUUAUAGUUUGGUAUAUUUUUAGUUCUAGCUCAUGUAACAAUUGAGCUCGUAUCAUAUUGGACAAGGUUCAAAAUAUCGCUCUUGUGCCGGUCGGCUCGGAGAGAUAUGUACGUACUACCAAUUAAGGAGGACGAUGCAAGGGGAGUCUCUCUUGGCAGCCGUGCCAUGAUACUCAAAGGAUAUCGCACGAGACGUCGCGAUUCUCGAAGAGUAUCGUGCUACAGUGCAGCUACGCGUGUAUAAAGACACGCAGUAUUUUAAGUUUUAACCAACCCCGUACUUUUUUUUUUUCCUUUUCUCUGGGCCUACUUUUGGAUCCCCCCUCCCCCCACAUCCUUUUUCUUUCAUUCUCUUCUACCUUUUUUCUUUUCAACUUGCUCUUUCAUUUUUUCUUUUCUACUCACUCUUCCUUUUUUUCGUUUCUAUUUUUUCCUCCUUUUUUUUAUUAUAAUUUUUUUCUCUAAUUUCUUCUCAAUACCUUCUAUUUCUACUUUGUUUUCAAGGGAUAAUUGCCUAAAUGCCCCUCAAAAUCUCUGAAAUAUUUUAUCUAUCCCUUUUUUAUUUCAAAUAUAUUUCUUAUAUAUUUCUCCGUUAUUCAAAAAGAAUCCUACUAUUAGUGCCCUUUAAGUCAUCUGGGAUUAAACCUGAAUUAAAUUUCUAACAUAGCUAAGAAAUAGUGAAAAUACCUAUUUUGUCCCUUAAGGACAAAUAAGAAAAUUUGGUGAAGGCAGAAGGAUAUGCUUGGAAAGGCAAAAAGUCAAAAAUACUUCUUUUACCCCUAACUUAAGAGCAAAUAAGAAAAGUUGGUAAAGAUAAAAAAUUCUAAUAAUUGGAUCAAAGAAACCUUGAAAUCUUAUAC